GCCAGGUAUGAUGGCACGUGCCUGUAAUCCCAGCCCCCUGGGAGGCUGAGGCAAGAGGCUUGCAAGUUGGAGGCCAGCCUCAGCAACUUGAAAGACCCUGUCUCAA
rnacentral:sRNA from 1 species